AUUGCACGCUGGCGGCAGGCCUAACACAUGCAAGUCGAACGAGUGGCGGACGGGUGAGUAAGGUCUGGGAAACUGCCUGAUGGAGGGGGAUAACUACUGGAAACGGUAGCUAAUACCGCAUACCAUCAGAUGUGCCAAGAUGGGAUGAGCUUGUUGGUGGGGUAACGGCUCACCACUGCUACGAUCCAUAGCUGGUCUGAGAGGAUGACCAGCCAGACUGGAACUGAGACACGGUCCAGACGCCUACGGGAGGCAGUAUGGGGGAAGAUUGCACAAUGUGCGCAAGCCUGAUGCAGCCAUGCCGCGUGUAUGAAGAAGGCCUUCGGGUUGUAAAGUACUUUCAGCGGGGAGGCGUUACCCGCAGAAGAAGCACCGGCUAACUCCGUGCCAGCAGCCGCGGUAAUUC
rnacentral:rRNA from 1 species